rnacentral:ncRNA from 1 species
UACAAUUACAGCGCCAGGACAAUAAAAAAUUGUCGACGAGGAUUAGAACUUAUCGAAAUAUUCGGCGGAUGGUUCUAUGGCUUUAGUUACAGUCAUUAAAGUUUAUUAAAAAACUAAUAGUAAUAUUAGAACAAAGGU